rnacentral:rRNA from 1 species
AACGAACGCUGGCGGCAGGCUUAACACAUGCAAGUCGAACGCCCCGCAAGGGGAGUGGCAGACGGGUGAGUAACGCGUGGGAACAUACCCUUUCCUGCGGAAUAGCUCUGGGAAACUGGAAUUAAUACCGCAUACGCCCUACGGGGGAAAGAUUUAUCGGGGAAGGAUUGGCCCGCGUUGGAUUAGCUAGUUGGUGGGGUAAAGGCCUACCAAGGCGACGAUCCAUAGCUGGUCUGAGAGGAUGAUCAGCCACAUUGGGACUGAGACACGGCCCAAACGCCGACGGGAGGUAGCAGUGGGGAAUAUUGGACAAUGGGCGCAAGCCUGAUCCAGCCAUGCCGCGUGAGUGAUGAAGGCCUUAGGGUUGUAAAGCUCUUUCACCGAUGAAGAUAAUGACGGUAGUCGGAGAAGAAGCCCCGGCUAACUUCGUGCCAGCCGCCGCAGUAAUAC